rnacentral:rRNA from 1 species
AUUGAACGCUGGCGGCAUGCCUUACACAUGCAAGUCGAACGGGUUUUGGAGCUUGCUCCAAAGCUAGUGGCGAACGGGUGAGUAAUGCAUCGGAACGUACCCAGAAGUGGGGGAUAACGUAGCGAAAGUUACGCUAAUACCGCAUAUUCUCUGAUGAGGAAAGCAGGGGAUCGCAAGACCUUGCGCUUUUGGAGCGGCCGAUGUUGGAUUAGCUAGUUGGUGGGGUAAAGGCCCACCAAGGCUACGAUCCAUAGCUGGUCUGAGAGGAUGAUCAGCCACACUGGGACUGAGACACGGCCCAGACUCCUACGGGAGGCAGCAGUGGGGAAUAUUGCGCAAUGGGCGAAAGCCUGACGCAGCGACGCCGCGUGGGUGAUGAAGGCCUUCGGGUCGUAAAGCCCUGUCGGGAGGGAAGAAAUCUUGCCGACCUAAUACGUCGGUGACUUGACGGUACCUCCUAAGGAAGCACCGGCUAACUCCGUGCCAGCAGCCGCAGUAACAC